rnacentral:rRNA from 1 species
UAAGACGGCCAUAGUGGUUGGGAAACGCCUGUUCUCAUUCCGAACACAGAAGCUAAGCCUUCCACGUUGUUACCUGUACUGUCCCGCAAGAUGGGAAAGUAAUAAGCUGUCUUGU